CUUUUUCUCCUCAGACACGUCUCUCUUGUCAGAAGGCAAAGUCUUUCUCAGAAGCCCCAGAAGACAUCCUCUGGUCCUGGCCAGAACUGGUCAACUGGCCACGUCUGCCUGCGAGAAGACCGGGUGUCACUGUUUUAUAAAGACCACAGUGCCCACAACUGACGGGGUUCUUAGCAGGGGCACCUGCUCCUCUGGAGGUACUGGAAACAGAGAAGGGGCACUUUUGGUCGUCACAGAAAAAAAAAGAGGUGCUACUGGCAUGUUGUGGAUUAGUUUAAGGAUGCUAAAUGUUCUAAAAUGCACAGAACCCUUCUACACACAAAACAAGAUUUGUCUUACUCAAAAUACCAAGAGCAGUGCUAUUAAGAAACACUGGGCUCAAACCAACGAUCAUUCACCCCAUGGGCUGAAGGUAUCACGACUCGAACACAAUCUGGGGGCCAAGAGCAAGAAGGAGAACACGGCUCCCAGCAGAGGUGCCCUGGUACCCCGGUGGGGGUCGGGAGGAGGGUGCGUAAUCGUGCUGGCACGUUGAGUCCUUUUCAGAAAGUACUGUUACUUACAACGAAUGGAGAGCAAGACAGGGAAAUCAACUCCAAGGGCUGCCUUUAUUUUUCCUAAUGAAGAGAUUUCCCCGUGAUUGGACAAGCCUGUUUCCAGGAACAAGCUUCAGCAAUAUGUGAACCGUGAACUUCCUGAUGUUCAAGCUGGUUUUAGAAAAGGCAGAGGAACCAGAGAACAAAUUGCCAACAUCCACUGGGUCAUGGAAAAAGCAAGAGAGUUCCAGAAAAACAUCUAUUUCUGCUUCAUUGACUAUGCCAAAGCCUUUGACUGUGUGGAUCACAAUAAACUGUGGAAAAUUCUGAAAGAGAUGGGAAUACCAGAGCACCUGACCUGCCUCUUGAGAAAUCUGUAUGCAGGUCAGGAAGCAACAGUUAGAACUGGACAUGGAACAACAGACUGGUUCCAAAUAGGAAAAGGAGUACGUCAAGGCUGUAUGUUGUCACCCUGCUUAUUUAACUUCUAUGCAGAGUACAUCAUGAGAAAUGCUGUACUGGAAGAAACACAAGCUGGAAUCAAGAUUUCCAGGAGAAAUAUCAAUCACCUCAGAUAUGCAGAUGACACCACCCUAUGGCAGAAAGUGAAGAGGAACUCAAAAGCCUCUUGAUGAAAGUGAA
ensembl:lncRNA